GGGCCCGCACAAGCAGUGGAGUAUGUGGUUUAAUUCGAAGCAACGCGAAGAACCUUACCAGGGCUUGACAUACCGAUGACCGGGUUAGAGAUAACCCUUCCCUUCGGGGCAUCGGAUACAGGUGGUGCAUGGUUGUCGUCAGCUCGUGUCGUGAGAUGUUGGGUUAAGUCCCGCAACGAGCGCAACCCCUGUUGUUAGUUGCCAUCAUUAAGUUGGGCACUCUAACAAGACUGCCGGUGACAAAUCGGAGGAAGGUGGGGAUGACGUCAAAUCAUCAUGCCCCUUAUGUCCUGGGCUACACACGUACUACAAUGGCGAUUACAGAGGGCAGCGAAACCGCGAGGUGGAGCAAAUCCCUAAAGGUCGCCCCAGUUCAGAUUGCAGGCUGAAACUCGCCUGCAUGAAGUAGGAAUUGCUAGUAAUGGCAGGUCAGCAUACUGCCGUGAAUACGUUCCCGGGCCUU
rnacentral:rRNA from 1 species